rnacentral:rRNA from 1 species
AACGAACGCUGGCGGCAGGCUUAACACAUGCAAGUCGAGCGCCCCGCAAGGGGAGCGGCAGACGGGUGAGUAACGCGUGGGAAUCUACCCAUCUCUACGGAAUAACGCAUGGAAACGUGUGCUAAUACCGUAUACGUCCUUCGGGAGAAAGAUUUAUCGGAGAUGGAUGAGCCCGCGUUGGAUUAGCUAGUUGGUGGGGUAAAGGCCUACCAAGGCGACGAUCCAUAGCUGGUCUGAGAGGAUGAUCAGCCACACUGGGACUGAGACACGGCCCAGACUCCUACGGGAGGGAGCAGUGGGGAAUAUUGGACAAUGGGCGCAAGCCUGAUCCAGCCAUGCCGCGUGAGUGAUGAAGACCCUAGGGUUGUAAAGCUCUUUCACCGGUGAAGAUAAUGACGGUAACCGGAGAAGAAGCCCCGGCUAACUUCGUGCCAGCAGCCGCGGUAAGAC